rnacentral:rRNA from 1 species
GUCUACUACCAUACUACCCUGAACAAGCCUGAUCCCAUCUGAUCUCAGAAGCUAAUCAGGGUCGGGCCUAGUUAGUACUUGGAUAGGAGACCACCUAGGAAGACCAGGUGCUGUAGGUG